AGUGAACGCUGGCGGUAGGCCUAACACAUGCAAGUCGAACGGCAGCACAGUAAGAGCUUGCUCUUACGGGUGGCGAGUGGCGGACGGGUGAGGAAUACAUCGGAAUCUACUUUUUCGUGGGGGAUAACGUAGGGAAACUUACGCUAAUACCGCAUAUGACCUACGGGUGAAAGCAGGGGAUCUUCGGACCUUGCGCGAUUGAUUGAGCCGAUGUCGGAUUAGCUAGUUGGCGGGGUAAAGGCCCACCAAGGCGACGAUCCGUAGCUGGUCUGAGAGGAUGAUCAGCCACACUGGAACUGAGACACGGUCCAGACUCCUACGGGAGGCAGCAGUGGGGAAUAUUGGACAAUGGGCGCAAGCCUGAUCCAGCCAUACCGCGUGGGUGAAGAAGGCCUUCGGGUUGUAAAGCCCUUUUGUUGGGAAAGAAAAGCAGCAGGUUAAUACCCCGCUGUUCUGACGGUACCCAAAGAAUAAGCACCGGCUAACUUCGUG
rnacentral:rRNA from 1 species